CUGAACAAACACAUGAUAAUUCAUACAAGGCAAAAAGCAUUUGUCUGUUCUGAGUGUGGCCAAAGAUUUGAACAAAAGGGCAACCUGAAUGAACACAUGAUAAUUCAUACCAGAC